rnacentral:tRNA from 1 species
GCGGCUGUAGCUCAGGUGGAAAGAGCAGGAGUUUCCUAAACUCUUGGUCGGGGGUUCGAGUCCUCCCAGCCGCACCA